AAAGACCCCAUGGAGCUUUACUGUAGCUUGACAUUGGGUCUUGGUACUACAUGUACAGGAUAGGUGGGAGGCUUUGAAACCAGGACGCCAGUUUUGGCGGAGCCAUCCUUGGGAUACCACCCUUGUAGUACUGGGACUCUAACCAUAGGCCAUGAAUCUGGUCUUGGGACACUGUCAGGUGGGCAGUUUGACUGGGGCGGUCGCCUCCCAAAAGGUAACGGAGGCGCUCAAAGGUUCUCUCAGUACGGUCGGAAAUCGUACGUAGAGUGUAAAGGCAAAAGAGAGCUUGAUUGCAAGACAUACAGGUCGAGCAAGGAUGAAAAUCGGACUUAGUGAUCCGGUGGUUCUGCGUGGAAGGGCCAUCGCUCAACGGAUAAAAGCUACCCUGGGGAUAACAGGCUUAUCUCCCCCAAGAGUCCACAUCGACGGGGAGGUUUGGCACCUCGAUGUCGGCUCAUCACAUCCUGGGGCUGUAGUAGGUCCCAAGGGUUGGGCUGUUCGCCCAUUAAAGUGGUACGCGAGCUGGGUUCAGAACGUCGUGAGACAGUUCGGUCCCUAUCCGUCGCAGGCGUAGGAAAUUUGAGAAG
rnacentral:rRNA from 1 species